GAAAAGCACUCUGAAGAGAGAGUCAAAAGACCGUGAAACCGCUCAGAGUAUAAGCCAAUGGAGCUUGGAAGGCUUCCGCAGGUGAUGUCCAUCAUACGUGGUGUUCUUAAGACCUUGAGUGUGGCUCGUCAGGCGUAGCAUUGAGUUUGCCAGGUUUAGCUGUCGUGCGGGGGGUUCGGCUGGGAGGACUUCGGCUUCGGCCGGAGGGCUCUUCUGGUCGUCCCCUUUUGAAUGGACGUUCAGAACCUCUUGUGUCUAAUGCGGUUAUGCCCACCACAGCACGUUGUGAGGUCACCCACAGGCUCAACUGCCGAUCGCGCAUCCAGGACGAUGGCAACGAUGCGUUGUUGAUGAUGAUGGUGGCUCGAGAGAGACCACACACACACGCGUGUCUAGUCCUGGGUCGGGCGGCGACCGAGAUAAACCUGGUACGAUCCUCUAGCGACGAGCUGCUUUCUGGCCAGACCGACGCCCAGGCGCUUCCACUGUGCCGGAAGCGUCAACCCCAGGCGGUGUGAACCCAGCUGCAUUAUGCAAGGUCUCUCAGCCGGGCGUUGGUCUGAGUGGUGUUAAGUCCAGCACCAUCGGUCACGUCUCGAAACACGGGCCAAGGAGUAUAGCAUGUGUGCAAGUCUAAGGGUCUCACAAAACCCGAAGGCGAAGUGAAAGCAAGACUGUGGCGGGGGAGCUACGGCGAACCCGCCGGCCUAGUGUGACGCGUGCGUCGCCUGGCUUUAACAGAGCUGAUCCUGUUUUCUCGGUUAAUUCUUGGUGCAGGCGCAAGCUCCGGGCUCACGUACAACACUGGUCACACGCCUCGCGUGUGUGGCUGUGUUGUGAGCACCGUGGAGCAUGCAUGCUAUGACCCGAAAGAUAGUGAACUAUGCCUGGCGAGGGCGAAGCCCCAGGAAACUGGGGUGGAGGCCCGUAGCCGUUGUGACGUGCAAAUCCAUGGUAUCAGCUGGGCAUAGGGGCGAAAGACCAAUCGAACUAUCUAGUAGCU
rnacentral:rRNA from 1 species